GUGUUUAUAUGAACGUUUCCUUCCCAGAUGAAGGUCGCAUUGCUGCUGUUCUUAGUUGGCGUGGUCGGAUUUGUCUCCUGCCAAAAACGCUCCAGGUCUUCGUCAGCAGUAGUUGACGGCAAGCAUGGUAAUAGCGAGUACCACUAUUCCUUUGAACAUGGCGAGAAAAUUUACUCAGGUCGUGGCGCUCAGAGUUACUGUAAACGGCUUGGUGAUGACUGAACGCCGUCGCCAUCAGCUCCUCAGGCGAAUUGAACUUCAUUCACAAUCUCAUCAGAAACAAGCCUCUGGCGUACAUCUGGACUGGUGGUCAUCGUACCGGGAAACGCAACUUCGCCUGGUACAACGGCGAGCGUUUCACUAUCAGUGAAUGGUCCCAUACUGGAGC